UGCGGUGUUUGUUUGGUUUGAAACUUGAAUGAUGAGUUUCAUUCAUUAUAAUUUACUAAUUAUAUGCAUGUGUAACUCGUAGUUACACAACUCAGAUGCAUGUAUAGCCCCAAGUUACACUAUUCAGUUGCCUCGGUAACUCAUAGUUACACAUUAAGUUGGAUGACACUGUAAAAGAACCCAAUCAACUGUUGAUAUCAGAGAAAGAUAUCCCUCAGGAAACCUUGGAGAAAGGGAAUACAAAAUCCUGAAUAUAUUGGAGUUUGAUAACAAAAGAAAGCUAAUUGUGCAAGAUGAGGAUAUGAAAAUUCUUCUUUUGUGAAAAGGUGAAGGCAGCUGUUGUGAGGAAGGAGAUUGGAGAUGAGA